rnacentral:tRNA from 1 species
GCCCCCGUAGCUCAGGGGACAGAGCGACGGACUUCUAAUCCGACGGUCGCAGGUUCGAAUCCUGCCGGGGGCA